rnacentral:rRNA from 1 species
ACGAACGCUGGCGGCGUGCUUAACACCUGCCAGUCGCACGGAAAGGCCCUGCUUUUGUGGGGUGCUCGAGUGGCGAACGGGUGAGUAACACGUGAGUAACCUGCCCUUGACUUUGGGAUAACUUCAGGAAACUGGGGCUAACACCGGAUAGGAGCUCCUGCUGCAUGGUGGGGGUUGGAAAGUUUCGGCGGUUGGGGAUGGACUCGCGGCUUAUCAGCUUGUUGGUGGGGUAGUGGCUUACCAAGGCUUUGACGGGUAGCCGGCCUGAGAGGGUGACCGGCCACAUUGGGACUGAGAUACGGCCCAGACUCCUACGGGAGGCAGCAGUGGGGAAUAUUGCACAAUGGGCGGAAGCCUGAUGCAGCAACGCCGCGUGCGGGAUGACGGCCUUCGGGUUGUAAACCGCUUUCGCCUGUGACGAAGCGUGAGUGACGGUAAUGGGUAAAGAAGCACCGGCUAACUACGUG